rnacentral:tRNA from 1 species
GGGAGAUUAGCUCAGCUGGUUAGAGUACUUGCUCGACACGCAAGGGGUCACUGGUUCGAAUCCAGUAUCUCCCACCA